CCCUCAGUGCUGACGUUAACACAUUAAGCACUCCGCCUGGGGAGUACGGCCGCAAGGCUGAAACUCAAAGGAAUUGACGGGGGCCCGCACAAGCAGUGGAGCAUGUGGUUUAAUUCGAAGCAACGCGAAGAACCUUACCAGGUCUUGACAUCCUUCGCUACUUCUAGAGAUAGAAGGUUCCCCUUCGGGGGACGAAGUGACAGGUGGUGCAUGGUUGUCGUCAGCUCGUGUCGUGAGAUGUUGGGUUAAGUCCCGCAACGAGCGCAACCCUUGAUCUUAGUUGCCAGCAUUCAGUUGGGCACUCUAAGGUGACUGCCGGUGACAAACCGGAGGAAGGUGGGGAUGACGUCAAAUCAUCAUGCCCCUUAUGACCUGGGCUACACACGUGCUACAAUGGAUGGUACAAAGGGCAGCAAAACCGCGAGGUUGAGCGAAUCCCAUAAAGCCAUUCUCAGUUCGGAUUGCAGGCUGCAACUCGCCUGCAUGAAGCCGGAAUUGCUAGUAAUCGCGGAUCAGCAUGCCGCGGUGAAUACGUUCCCGGGCCUUGUACACACCGCCCGUCACACCACGAGAGUUUGUAACACCCGAAGUCGGUGAGGUAACCUUUUGGAACCAGCCGCCGAAGGUGGGACAGAUGAUUGGGGUGAAGUC
rnacentral:rRNA from 1 species